rnacentral:rRNA from 1 species
UGCGUAGGCGGUUCCGCAAGUCCGCUGUGAAAGCCCCGGGCUUAACCUGGGAAUGGCAGUGGAAACUAUGGGACUUGAAUCUGGCAGAGGGGGGUGGAAUGCCACGUGUAGCAGUGAAAUGCGUAGAUAUGUGGCGGAACACCGAUGGCGAAGGCAGCCCCCUGGGCUGAGAUUGACGCUCAGGCACGAAAGCGUGGGGAGCAAACAGGAUUAGAUACCCUGGUAGUCCACGCCCUAAACGAUGAUCACUAGGUGUUGGGGAAGCGAUUUCUCAGUACCGCAGCUAACGCGUGAAGUGAUCCGCCUGGGGAGUACGGUCGCAAGAUUAAAA